UAAAAAUGUAACUCCAAAUAUCUGUCUUGGAGAGAAUAGAGGAAGGGAAAAUACAAAGCAGUAUGAGUAAUGUAAGAGAUAAAUCCUUAUAUUUCACCCUAGAAAAUUAAUAAAUAAACCCUGUGAUGCUGUGAUUUAUUUAUUUGUAUUUAUUUAUUUUUGAUUGGGUUAUUUUUGGUAAGAUUUUUAUUUUUUCUAUUAAACAGAUUUACAAUGUUCUGUCAUCCUCUGCUGUACAGCAAAGUGACUCAGUCAUAUUUAUCCAUCCACUUGAUAUGUAAUAGUUUGCAUCUAUUAACCCCAAACUCCCAGAUCAUCCCACUCCCUCCUUCUCCCCACUGGCAAUUACAAAUCUGUUCUCUAUGUCUGUGAGUCUCUUUGUUUUGUAAACAGGUUCAUUUGUACCAUAUUUUAGAUUCCACAUAUAAGUGAUAUCAUGUGGUACUUGUCUUUCUCUUUUUGACCUACUUUACUUACUAUGGUAAUUUCUAGUUGUAUUCGUGUUGUUGCAAAUGCCAUUAUUUCAUGCUUUUUAUGGCUGAGUAGUAUUCCAUUGUAUAUAUGUACCACAUCUUCUUAAUUCAUUUAUCUAUUGAUGGACAUUUAGGUUGUUUCUAUGUCUUGGCUAUUGUGAAUAGAGCUGCAACGAGCAAAGGGGUGCAUAUAUCCUUUUGAAUGAAGGUUUUGUCCAGAUAUAUGUCCAGGAGUGGGACUGCUGGAUCAUAUCGUAGUUCUAUAUUUAGGUUUCUAAGGAACACCCAAUACUGUUUUCCACAGCGAUUGUACCAAUUUACAUUCCCACCAACAGGGUAGGAGAGGUCCCUUUUCUCCAUACCCUCUUCAGCUUUAUUUAUAGACUUACUAAUGAUGGUCAUUCUGACCAGUGUGAGGUACCUCAUUGUAGUUUUGAUUUGCAUUUCUCUAAUAAUUAGUGAUGUUGAGCAUCUUUUCAUAAGACUACUGGCCAUCCCUAGGUCUUCUUUAGAGAAAUAUCUAUUUAUAUCUUCUCUCCAUUUUUGGAUUGGGUUUUGUUUGUUUGUCUUUCUUUUUUUGAUAUAAAGUUAUAUGAGAUGUUUGUAUAUUUAGGAGAUUAAGCCCUUGUCAGGUGCAUCAUUUGCAACCAUUUUCUCCCAUUCUGUAGUUUGUCUUUUUGGUUUUUUAUGGUUUCCUUUGGUGUGCAAAAACUUGUAAAUUUAAUUAGGUCCCAUUUGUUUAUUUUGUUUUUAUUUCUAUUGCCUUGAGAGACUGAUCUAAGAAAACAUUUGCACAGUUUAUGUCAGAGAAUGUUUUGCCUAUGUUUUCCAUAAGUUUUAUAGUGCCAUGUCUUAUGUUUAAGUCUUUAAGUCAUUUUGAGUUUAUUUUUGAGAAUGGUGUGAGGGCACCUUAUUGUUUCAUUGACUUACAUGCAACUGUUCAGUUUUCCAAGUACCACUUGCUGAAGAGACUGUCUCUGUUCAUUGAACAAUGACCAAACCAGCAGAAAUGAACAUCCCUAAUGCUGAGAUUACUCUAUGUGUGUGUGUGUAUUAUAUAGUCUGUAUAGUACCAUUCCUGAAAAAGUAAACAAAGUUAUUUUAAAAAAUGGCUGAUGCCAGGUGCAAGGAAGGACAGAUACAAAAUAAACCUGAAAUAUCUUGUCACCAGAAAACAAAACAGCUAUCAAAGACUACUUAAAUGCUAGCUAAAAAUGAGACAAUCUGUGUAUCAAUAAGGGUAGAAACUGUAAUGGACUAAAAUACAUCAAAAAUCUAUGUUUACAUUAAUACUAAAAAGAGGAAAGACCUACUAAUUAUCUUUAAAGGAUACUAGAGAAUCAAUUCAAUAUCCAAAGGAACCAAGCAUUUCACUGUUUUUCCUAUAUGUACCAGACAUCAAGGUAACGAAAUAAUUUUGGGAAGUUCUCUUUUUUAAAGUGUUACAACUAAUAAACAAAUCUAUAAUUAAUUAAUAAAUCUAAUGAUCACCAAUGGCUGUCAACAUCACUAAGAGAGAUGAAGUACCCAUCAUCUAUGAAGUGGUACUGUAAGGGAAAACAAAGUGUAUGAGAAACAAAUGUGAAUCUGAUCAAGGCUCUACAUCCAGGGCUCAUUUCAAUGGCAUCAUCUGUGUAAUCAGACGGGGCUCUGUGCCAAGAAGGGUCCCAGAUCUGAUUUAAUGUUCUGCUGUCCUGAACUUGACAUUUGAACAAAGGGCCCCAUGUUUUUAUUCUGCAUUGGGCCCUGCAAACAACCAAAUUACAGGAAACAAGUGUAGUACAUUAAAAAAAAAGUCUACCCUAAGUGUAAGAUCAGAAACCAUAAAAUUCCUAGAAGAAAAUAUAGGCUCUUUGACAUGAACUGUAGAAAUUUUUUUUCUUUAAUCUGUCUCCUAAGGCAAAACAAAAGCAAAAGUUAAUAAAUGGGACGUAAUUAAACUUAAAAGCUUUUGCACAGCAAAGAAAACCAUCAAUAAAAUGAAAAGACAGUCUACAAAAUGAGAGAAAUUAUCUGCAAAUGAUAUGACUGGUAAGAGGUUAGUACCUAAAAUAUAAAACAGCUCAUACAACUAAAAUAUCAAAAAAGCAAACAACCCAAUUAAAACAUGGGCAGAAAACCCAAAUAAACAUACAGAUGGGCAACAGGCACAUGAAAAGAUGCUCAACAUCACUAAUCAGCCAAGAAGUGCAAAUCAAAACUACAACAAGGAGUUCCCAUUGUGGCUCAGUGGAUUAAGGACCCCAUGCUAUCUCUGUGAGGAUGUGGGUUCAAUCCCUGGCCUUGCUCAGUGGGUUAAGGAUCUGGCACAGAUGCAGCUCGGAUCUGGUGUUUCUAUGGCUGUGGCAUAGGCUCCAGCUGCAGCCCUGAUUCAACCCCUGGCCCAGAACUUCUAUAUGCCACAGGUGCGGCUGUAAAAAGAAAAACAAACAAACAAACAAAAAACCUACAAUGAGAUAUUACCUCACACCUAUCAGAAUGGCUAGCAUCAAAAAGACCAUAAAUAGCAAAUAUUGGAAAGGAUGUGGAAAAAAGGGAAUCCUUUUACUCUGUUGGAGGGAAUGUAAAUUGGUUUAGCCAGGAUGGAAAACAGUAAGGAGAUUUCUCAAAAAACUAAAAAUAGAACUAGCAUAUGCUCCAGCAACUCUACUCCUAAGCAUACAUCCAAAGAAAUGAAAACACUAAUUAGAGAAGAUACACUUGCACCUCAGUGUUCAUAGCAGCCUUAUUUACAAUAGCCAAGAUAUGGAAGCAACCUAAAUGCCCAUCAGUAAAUGAAUGGAUAAAGAAGAUGUCUCUCUCUCUCUCUCACACACACACACACACACACACACACACACACACACACACACACACAUGCAUAAAAGAUUCAUGCAUAAAAGAUUUUGCCAUGAAAAGUUUGCCAUUUACACAGAUGCACCUAGAAGGUAUUAUGCUUAGUUAAAUAAGUCAAAGACAAAUACUGUAUGUUAUCACUUAUAUUUUCUAAGCUACAAAAAUACAGAUUAUGUAGCACACUUCAAACAUAAUAUUUUCAAUCAACUGUACAUUAAUAAAAUAAUCAAUUUUAAGUUUCUAUAAUUAUUUUUUAAAAAUAUAUCUUCAAAUUCCUUGAUACGCCUCCCUUCUAAUCCCCCCACUGCAGAGUCCCAAUUUACAGUCUGAAUGCAACUUCAUGACAGAUCCCAUCGACAAAUACCACACUAUAACAUUUAAGAGUAGGCUUAAUAAAACCAAAUAAUUACAAACAAGAUGAAGACCAUAAGGAUUUGAAUUAACAUAAAGUAAAUAAUUUUUAAGUGUCUAAAUCAAAAUCCAGACUACACAUUACUAAUACUUCUAUUUAUGGAACUACUCUGGUGUGGAACUGAUGUAUUUGGCACAUACUAUUUUACCUAAUAUUCCAUAACAACCUCAAAAAUAUUAGACAUUCUUUUUUUAAUUGUUUGAUUCAAAUCAUAGUCAUAUUUAGACACCAGAUGGACUUUCUUCUUCACGUAUUUCAUCAUGUUAGAAAAAGAGUGUAAAUUAGGACCUUAUAAUGACUCAUGAUAGACUUUUAUCAUCCACAUAGGAAAGCAGUGAAGAGAAGGUUAUGCUAACCAUUCAAUAGUAAAAGAGACAUAAACAGAUGCUAUUCACAAGUCUCAGUGCACCAAUGGCAAUUACCACCUGUUCUGCUUCAUCUAUUAGUGAUAUGCAUGAAAAAGAAGCCAAGAGACAGAAAAUUCAUGCAGACACUAAUUUUUACUGCAACGAUAUUUUAAAUUUCCUCGUUAAAAAUACAUACUAUACAGUUACAACAGAGUAAUGCAAAAGAUAUGCAAUUACCUGACUAUCCUGGGUUGAGACCAGAUGACUAGCACAGGUUCACAAAGGUCUCCUCCAUUCUCUUUUUUCCUUUGCGAAGAGAAGAAAGGGGUUGUUUGCUUUAUAUAGAUGUCUCAGGAAAGGAAUCAACACAGAAAUGCCUCAUUAUUUUUCCUUCCUACCAACUCAGAAUUUGUGAUAACUCACGGCUUGAGCCUGGCUACAGGUAUCAUUAACAUAAUAAAGAAAAGGCUUGAGGAGGGUACAAAACUGUAAAGGUGGACUGAUUUUACCUAUGUGCAGGGGCAGGGGGAGGGGCUCCUUAUAGUUGUGUACAGAUUUUAAAAACCUAAGAAAAAGAAAAUCUUCCAACACAUAGGUAAACAAUACUGACUCUGGAUGAUAGGACUACAGCUCCAUCUCCCUUCCUUUUUUUCUCGGAAUUUUAAGAUAUUUUUUCUUUUAAAAUGAAAUACUUAAAAUGCUGUUAUUCUUAUGAGAAUUUUUUUAAGAUAUGUUUAAAUGUUCUAUUCACUAAGACAACUACAGAAAAUAAUGUACUUAAAAUCUGUGCUCAAAGUAUAUGCUUCCAUAAAAAAAAUAAAAUUCAGACUGGCCUCUUUUUUUUUUUUUUUUUUUUUUUGUCUUUUUGCCUUUUCUUGGGCCGCUCCCACAGCAUAUGGAGGUUCCCAGGCUAGGGGUCAAAUCAGAGCUAUAGACCCCGGCCUAUGCCACCGCCACAGCCACAGCAACUCAGAAUCCCAGCCGUGUCUGUG
rnacentral:lncRNA from 1 species